GAUGAACGCUGGCGGCGUGCCUAAUACAUGCAAGUCGAGCGAACAGACGAGGAGCUUGCUCCUCUGACGUUAGCGGCGGACGGGUGAGUAACACGUGGAUAACCUACCUAUAAGACUGGGAUAACUUCGGGAAACCGGAGCUAAUACCGGAUAAUAUAUUGAACCGCAUGGUUCAAUAGUGAAAGACGGUUUUGCUGUCACCUAUAGAUGGAUCCGCGCCGCAUUAGCUAGUUGGUAAGGUAACGGCUUACCAAGGCAACGAUGCGUAGCCGACCUGAGAGGGUGAUCGGCCACACUGGAACUGAGACACGGUCCAGACUCCUACGGGAGGCAGCAGUAGGGAAUCUUCCGCAAUGGGCGAAAGCCUGACGGAGCAACGCCGCGUGAGUGAUGAAGGUCUUUGGAUCGUAAAACUCUGUUAUUAGGGAAGAACAAAUGUGUAAGUAACUAUGCACGUCUUGACGGUACCUAACCAGAAAGCCACGGCUAACUACGUG
rnacentral:rRNA from 1 species